UCUCCGUAGGUGAACCUGCGGAGGGAUCAUUACAGAGUUCUCGCCCUCGCGGGUAGAUCUCCCACCCACUGUUAUCGUUACUGUGUUGCUUUGGCGGGCCGCCGGGCCCCGCUCGGCCGCCGGCUCCGGCUGGCGCGCGCCCGCCAGAGGCCCAGCAAACUCUGAAUGUUAGUGUCGUCUGAGUACUAUAUAAUAGGUAAAACUUUCAACAACGGAUCUCUUGGUUCUG
rnacentral:misc_RNA from 1 species